rnacentral:tRNA from 1 species
GCGGAUAUGGUGUAAUGGCAGCAUCUGAGUUUUCCAAACUUUAGGUACGAGUUCGAGUCUCGUUAUCCGCU